AGAGUUUGAUCCUGGCUCAGAACGAACGCUGGCGGCAUGCCUAACACAUGCAAGUCGGACGCUUUUGGGGUUUCGGCCUCAAGGGAGUGGCGGACGGGUGAGUAGCGCGUGGGAACCUGCCCCUUUGUGGGGGAUAACCGAGGGAAACUUCGGCUAAUACCGCAUGCGCCCCGGCGAAAGCUGGGGGAAAGAUUUAUCGCAGAGGGAGGGGCCCGCGUCGGAUUAGGUAGUUGGUGGGGUAACGGCCUACCAAGCCGGUGAUCCGUAGCUGGUCUGAGGGGAUGAUCAGCCACACUGGGACUGAGACACGGCCCAGACUCCUACGGGAGGCAGCAGUGGGGAAUGUUGGACAAUGGGCGCAAGCCUGAUCCAGCAAUGCCGCGUGAGUGAUGAAGGCCUUCGGGUUGUAAAGCUCUUUCGGCGGGGACGAUGAUGACGGUACCCGCAGAAGAAGCCCCGGCUAACUUCGUGCCAGCAGCCGCGGUAAUACGAAGGGGGCGAGCGUUGUUCGGAUUUACUGGGCGUAAAGGGCGCGUAGGCGGCGGGUCAAGUCGAGUGUGAAAGCCCCGGGCUCAACCUGGGAAUUGCGCUCGAGACUGGUCUGCUUGAGUUCGGGAGAGGAGAGUGGAAUUCCCAGUGUAGAGGUGAAAUUCGUAGAUAUUGGGAAGAACACCGGUGGCGAAGGCGGCUCUCUGGACCGAGACUGACGCUGAGGCGCGAAAGCGUGGGGAGCAAACAGGAUUAGAUACCCUAGUAGUCC
rnacentral:rRNA from 1 species